CAGAUGGUUGAUUUAAUUAUUAAAAGUGAUUAAUUACAGGAUUAUGAUUAGGAUCUAGAAAUCAAUAGCAAUUAUAUAGAAGUUGUAGAAGUUUGUUGGAAGGCCAAACUGUGAUACUCAUGAGUCGGGAUUAAGCUUGGUGCUUCUUCUUUGUUUUUUUUUGUUUUUUUUGUUGUUGAAGAGUAAUGGAUAGUUUUUGAAUACUGAGAAGUGAGUCUGUGGAAUAAAUCAGAGAUUGAUUUAUGAGUUAUUGAUUAUGUAAUUAAAGUACUGAGUGAUUGAAUUAUAUGAAAAGUUAUUAGAAGAUUGAUUAUGGAUGGAAGAUUAUGAUUGUUGUUUAUUGAGAGUUGUGUGUGUGUGUUUUGACAGAAGAAGUCUGUGAUUACAAGAAUUCUGUGAAUUCAGGUUGGUUGUAAUGAAGUCUAUUAUUCUUAUUAUUGGAUGGAAUUUAUUGAGUUUUGAGCGGUCUUUUGAAAGUGCAGGGUUACACAUUGUGGUUAUCAGUUGAUGAAGGAGUAUUGUUACUGG
rnacentral:lncRNA from 1 species